rnacentral:tRNA from 1 species
GCCACCCUAGCUCAGCUGGUAGAGCAACGCAUUCGUAAUGCGUAGGUCGGCGGUUCGAAUCCGCUGGGUGGCUCCA